rnacentral:tRNA from 1 species
GGCUGUGGCUCAGUGGCAGAGCACUUGCCUAGAAUGUAUGAGGCACUGGGUUUGAUCCUCAAUACCA